AUGCCAGGGUUCUUCCCCAUGUCCACCAAAUCCUGGCCCUGUCAACUUCUUCUGAUGCUGUUAAAGAAAAGGAACGCCGUCGCCUGCCACCACCCAUGUACCCUGCAAGACAAUAAACAAAACUGUACCGGUCACAAAAUCCCAUCGGAUCUGGAGGCUGGCAAGAAGACCAAGCCACCUGCUGCCUUGCGCAGCCGAUUAGAGCACCGCCGAUACGAGGGAAGAGCAGAGGCAGAUUAUUCCAACGCGGCGUCGUACCCACCAUUGAUGCAGCGCCUCUCGAAGCAAACCAAGCUUAUCCUAUGUCACCGUCGGACAGAAACCGACGAGGUCCCCGCCCACUCCUGCUGGACAAGGCCCUGCAGCAACACUGAUGGCGAAAGGAGGCAACAAAAUAACCUCCCAGUCGCUGCUCCAGAGAGGUUCCUGGAAUGUACGGAGCGGUUUCAAGCGCUCAUAUCAUGGAUGACGCAUCACUUUCCCUCUUCACUUGCCUGCUUUUUUGAAUAUGAUGGACAUGGAGAUACUCUAGCUUUGUGUAUGCUUUUCAGUUUUACAACCAGGUGGACUCCAAUCUUAGAUUGUAUUUGUUUGGUCUGCAACUUCUGCGGCUGCAGCUGA
rnacentral:rRNA from 1 species